rnacentral:lncRNA from 1 species
AGGACAAGGAAACUGAGAAUGGGUAUGGGGCCAGGAUGUGGGAACAAUGGAUGAAGAAAAAAUGAAGAACACAUAAAUGGGAGGAUUGAGAAGAGCACUUCCAAAUAUAUUGGAUAUAUUUCAGUGACCUGUUUUUUAUGUGAAACAAAUACUUUAGCAAGAGCUGACUGCAAAAGCAUCGCAUGUUUCUUCUUGCAUGCACAUUGAGUUAGUGAGAUCACUCAUAAUAAACAAAAUUUAUUGAGCACAUUACCAUGUGGCAGGUAAACUAAUUUGUAUGUAUUAAUUUGUAUUAUAAUCACAGCAUGUCUAAGGCAGGUUUGUUAUUUUCUUCUUUUAUAAAUAAAGUGAGGGACUGAGAAGUGCGAUAACUUCUCCAGGGCUAUUUCUGAAGCUAGGUGUCCCGGCUUAAGAGAAGUCCUGCUUAACUGCUAACUUAUACUUAUUUUGGCCCUUUGGAGAUUUUUUUUUUCUUUUUUUUUUUCUUUUUUACGGCUGCACCUGGGGGAUAUGGAAGGUCCCAGGGCAGGGGUGGAAUCAGAGCUUCAGCUGCUGACCUCCGCCAUAGCCAUGCACUGGAUUUGAGCUGCAUCUGCAGCCUACACCGCAACUUGUGGCAACACCAGAUCCUUAACCCAGUGACUGAGGCUAGGGGUCAAACCCACCUCCUCAUGAAUACUAUGUCAGGUUCUUAACCCUCUGAGCCACAGUGGAAACUCUAGGAGCUUUUAAAAUUACUACUAUUUUUUAUUUUUAUUUUUUGGCCAUGUCCGUGGCAUAUGGAAGUUCCUGGGCUAGGGAUCAAACCUGUGCCCCAGCAGCAACCCAAGCCACUGCAGUGACAGCCACUCCAGGCCCUUUACCUGCUGGGCCAUAAGGGAACUCCCUUUGAAGCAAUAUGGAGAUCCCUGUUGGCCUAGCAGGUUAAGGAUUAGGCAUUGUCACUGCUCUGGUGUGGGUUUGAUUCCUAGCCUGGGAACAUCCACAUGCCACAGAUAGAGCCAAAAUAAAUAAAUAAAUAAAAUGGCAGCCUGAAGAUGCAUUUAUUUUUUUUGUCCCCCUGAAAUCCCUAUAAAAUGAGAGUAAAGAGAUAAAGUAAGAUAAAACCCAAGGACAAAAAGAAUACCAUAGAAGAUGAACACAGCAAAAAUGUUGACAUCUGGAAAGUGGGAUACCUGGUAACUGAAUCGGUCUGAGAGCUGAAUGGAGCCCUUACCUGACAGAGUGGGGAGUUGAAAAGGGAUUUUACACCUGUGGAAUCCUAAAAGUCUCAUGGAAUGGUGACACCUCUAGAAAGUGAAGGGUGGAGGAGAGGUUGAAAAUUGGAGCUUUAGCUCCAGUUGUGUUUGAGAAGCAAUUAGAUUCCCAAAGCCCCUUUCUACUUUGAUAGAUUUUUGAGGUUUUAUUUUCAGGAGAGGUAAAGUAGAGAGCCUGGGGUGGGGUUAGCUAAAUUGUCUUGCACACCACUCCCAUAAGGGAAUAUUAAGUUUAUUCUCAACAGAACAACCAGACUGAUCCUGAGAAAAUACCUUCUCUUGUAGCCGGGAGUAAGAGUCAUCUUACUCAUUCCACUACAUUCACACUGGACUUCUUGCUCUUCCUCCAACAUGGGGACCACUUCUGCCUUGUGGCAUCGACUGUCUCUCUUCUCUGCUUGGAGUGUUCUUCCCCCAGAUAUCUGUAAGCCUCAUUCCCUCACUUUCCUAAGAUAUUUAGUUAAAUUUUACCUUUUCAAAUGGACUGUUUAUGAAAAACAGAUCUGAAAUUGCAACCUUCCCCAGUCCUUACUAUCUUUUUCUCUUGCUUUAUUCUUUCUUUUUUAUUUUUAUUGAUUUUAUUUAUUAAACUAUAGUUGAUUUACAAUGUUUGUUAGUUUCAGGUCUAUAGCUUCAGAUUCUUUUCUGUUAUAGGUUAUUAUGAGAUAUUGAAUGUAGUUCCAUGUGUUAUACAGUAAAUCAUUGUUGAUUAUCUCUUUCCUAUAUAGUGGUGUGCAUCUAUUAAUUCCAAACUACUAAUUUAUUCUUCCCUCUCUUCUUUCCCUUUGGUAACCAUAAGUUUGUUUUCUAUGUUUAUGAGUCUCUGUUUUACAAAAUAACUUGAUCUCAAUUAUAGUUUUAGAUUCUACAUGUAAGGAAUAUUGUGUACCUGUCUUUCUAUGCCUGACUUCACUUAAUAUGAUAAUCUCCAAGUCCACUUAUUUUGCUGCAAAUGGCAAUAUUUUAUUCUUUUUAAUGACUUGGUAGUAUUCCAUUCUCUAUAUAGCACAUCUUUUUUUAUCCAUUUAUCUGUUGAUGGACGCCUAAGUUGCGUCCAUGUUUUGGCUAUUGUAAAUGUUACCAUGAACACUGGGGGUGCAUGCAUGUUUUUAAAUUAGAGUUUUAGAGUUUUCCAGAUAAAUGUAUAGGGGUGGGCUUGCUGGAUCAUAUGGUAACUCUAUUUUUAAUUUUUAAAGUAGCCUCCAGAGUGUUUUCCAUAGUGGCUGCACCAGUUUAUAUUCCCACCAAUAGUGUAGAAUGGUUCCCUUUUCUCCACACCCUCUCCAGCAUUUAUUGUUUGUGGACUUGUUAAUGAUAGCCAUUCUGACUGGUGUGAGGUGGUACCUCAUUGUAGUUUUGAUUUCCAUUUCUCUAAUAAUUAUCAAUGUAGAGCAUAUUUUCACGUGCCUGUUGGCCAUCUGUAAUCUUCUUUGAAGAAAUGUCUGUUUAGGUUGUCUGCUCCCUUUUUGAUUCGGUUAUUUGUUUUAUUGAUAUUGAGUUGUAUUGAUAUUUUGGAGAUUAAGUUCUUCUUGGUUGCUUUGUUUGCAAAUAUUUUCUCCUAGUCCAUAGGUUAUCUUUUCAUUGUGUUUAUGGUUUCCCUUUGCUGCGCAAAAGCUUACAAAUUCGAUUAGAUCCUGUUUGUUUAUUUUUGCGUUUAUUUCUUUCGCCUUGGGAGACUGAACUAAGAAAAUAUUACUACAAUUUAUUUCCAAGAAUAUUUUUCCUAUGUUCUCUUCUAGGAGUUUUAUGGUAUUAUGUCUUAUAUUUAAGUCUUUAAGCCAUUUUAACUUUAUUUUUGUGUAUGGUAUAAGGAUAUGUUCUAACUUCAUUCAUUUACAUGUGGCUGUCUAGCUUUCCUAACACCACUUGCUGAAGAGACUGUCUUUUCUCUGUUGUAUAUUCUUGCCUCCUUUGUUGAAGAUUAAUUGACUAUAGGUGUAUGGGUUUGUUUCCAGCUUCUCUAUUCUUUUCUGUUGAUCUAUAUAGCUGCUUUGUGCCAUCUUCUUGCUUUAUUCUUCAAUUUAGCAUCCUAUUUAAUCUCCCUGUGCCUUAAUUUCUUUACAUGUAAAAGAAGGAAAAUAACAAAACUACUUUAUUUAUCAUGUUUCUUGUUUGUCUAUAUUCUGUGCCUCUUAUUCUGUUUGUUUUUCCUGUGAUAAUAGAAUAUAGAGAAAAUAGAUUCUCAGCAUUUGCUUUGUUCAACUACUGUCCCUUCAGAAAUUAGAAUAGUGCUUGACACAUAGUAAUUAAACAAUACCAUUUGAUAUAUUUAGAUGUCGUUGACAUAUGAAUAAAAGGAUUCCAAGAUUAAAGUUGAGGAAAUCUUUAGGAAAGUAUGUCAAAAGAUUGAAUGAAGGAAAUUGAGAGAUUAAGAAGAAAAUUUCGUGUCCAAUCUAGGAGGUUCAUUGUUCAAAUAAUAAGAGUUCAGAAAGAGAUAAUGGAGAAUAGAGGAGAAGACACACAUUAGAUAACCGAC